AUCCUUUUUUUCCGAUUAAAAAACAAAAGAAAACAGAAACUGCUGCUUGCUUGUUUGUGUCUGUGCACACGCACAUGGCGCGCGCACGUGCGCACAUGUAUCUUUUUCACACAUUUGUUUCAUUUGCUCCUGUUGUGUACACUUGGAAAGAAGGAAACACCAAGAGGUCCUCUAUUAGUAUGUUGCUCUGUAUAAACACACUUCACUAAACUCAAAAAAUAAAGGCAUCAGACUGCUUGCUCUCUGCUGAAAAGUUUUCCACGAAAUCUUAUGUUGUAACUGAGCUGAUGUACUUUCAUCAAUAAAUUGUGCCAACGACUCUACUUCCUUCCACUCCUCUCAAGCAGUUCAAGCAAACUAAUUUAGGAGAAAACAGGAUGAAACUAACUGGCCAAGAAAAUGUGUGCUUGAAGGAUCUGGGGCACAAUCUGCGCACACCUGAAGGGGCUGUCUGGGUCCACCACACAUCUUCCAGAAAGACCACGAUGAACAAAAGCACGGCCCCAGGGCUUGGGCGCACUGGUCCCAGGACACUGGCCUCCUGAUCACUGGUGGAGGCGACCAGCAAAAUGUUGCCCCAGAGAUCUCCUGAGCACCUGGGAUGCACAGAUGACUGGCGUGAGAGAGCACAUGGAGCAGAGCGGCUAGGUAAGGAUGGUGCCUGCUAACCCAGCACUGAGCAAAGCAGUGGUGGCAGUGGCUGACCGGUUUCUUGCCUUAGUGCUUUUAAAAAGGAGGAAACUAUUUGCUGUGGGGGUAGGAAAUGUCCUUACUCUGGGGAGUUUAAAGAUCUGAGGAGGGAGGGGAGAAUUGGUUUGUGGGCAUGGGGGGGGGGCGGUCUGCAUCUGGAGAGAGCGCAAUCUGGUGCCCAGUUGGAGUUCUGAGACCAAGGGUGGGGAAUGCCAGGGUGACAGCAUGUGCAGGGAAAGUGGCGGGAAUAAUAUGAGUGGUGGUGGGAAAGAAAACCAGGGAUGCCUUACCCAGCUCUCUGCCCCCGAAUGCUGGAAUCAUAUCUAGGUGUGAAAUGCCUGGACCAGGGGCACUUCUUAGCCAGGCAUGUGUGCAUGCUUGUGUGAGUCCCUGAAUUUGAUUUCCUAAGGCUUUCAGAAAGCUAAAGCAGACAUCCGCUGGGUCACAAGUUCACAUGGCAUUUCGGGGUGAAGUGGCAAAUUUGACACUUAGUGUAACACGUGGGGAGAGGUUUGUAGCCUGGGUGAGCAUCUUUACUGACCCAAGAGAGUAUGCUGGCUGAGGCUGAGUGGCCUAUGCUGAAUUGCACCAGACCUCCUCCCUGGAACCCUCCCCCAGCACAGCCUCCUAAGAGCUGGGUUCGUUUCUGUGAGAUUUGAAGUGCUCGGGCCUGGGGAAGGGUUGAUUCCAGCAGCAGAAUUCACUUGUCUACUUUGUGCCUGUGCGUGUUAGAAUUGUGAUCCUCUUUGGCGUGUGUUAGACUGUCCUAGCAUUCAGGUUGGAAGUGGUAGAGGAAGCAGGGGUUUGAGAAUUGCAUCCAUAUGGACAGAUUUAAAAAUGCAAACAUUUGUUUGU
rnacentral:lncRNA from 1 species